AUGUUAUCAGUUACCAUAGUAACAAGACAUGUUGACACAGAAGCCAAAAGAGAGAAUAAUGCUUGUGAGCGGGUCGCACAAGCUGCGUGGAAUACUGGAAUAGCACAAUCUCUGCACAUUCAUAUAUUCUGGAUUUUCUUCUGGAUUAAUUCUGAGCAGACUACGUAGAGACCUUCAGAAGAAAGUCAUGUCACUAUUGAUUUUAAAAGAACAGUUGUAUAGAGAAACCAUGCAAAGACCUACAAUGUCGAAGGACAGCUGAAGCAUCAAUGAAGCACUUGCAGCAUGGAUAGAGGGACCCAGAGAAGCAGGACAAGAUGAAAUGCAGCAUGGAUGGGAGCCUGUACCCAUUGGGAUGAAAGGGAACUGAUGACCGUAGGAUAGCGUUUCCUGAAGUACCGGUAACCUAUCACCUCAGUAUGUGAACUCAGUGUUUAUCUGCCUCUAAAGGUAAGACUGUUUCUUGAUAUAGCCACUGAAAGCAAGCAUUAUGGUCCGGUAUAUCCUGCCUAAUGUUAAAAAAAAGCUACCUACUGCACUUUUCAGACCAUGUGAUCUUUAGCAGCCUAUGUGGUAGCAAGACAUAUACAGCCAUUCAAGGCCAUUGAGUGCUCUGGGGAAUGGAUGAAAACAAUGAAAAAUCAUGAAGCUAUGAUUUCUUUUCCCCUCCCCAUGCAAUGCGUAGCAACAAGAGAAUAAUAUUUAGCCUCUGGCUGUGCUGAGGAGUUUUGCAUGGUUACCGGCCUUCACUGAGAUGCCAUGCCACAUGCUUGUUAGCCAUAUGCAAUCAAUAUCCUAGCAAGUGAGGAAUCCUUACGUGGGUUCUGAAUUUUAUGGGUAGGAGGAAUUAUGUUGCAUUCCAGAUAUAUUAAAAAUAAUAAAUAAAAAAUACGAGCCCA
rnacentral:lncRNA from 1 species